AACGAGCGCUGGCGGCAUGCCUAACACAUGCAAGUCGAACGAGACCUUCGGGUCUAGUGGCGCACGGGUGCGUAACGCGUGGGAACCUGCCCUUAGGUUCGGAAUAACUCCCCGAAAGGGGUGCUAAUACCGGAUAAUGUCUUCGGACCAAAGAUUUAUCGCCUUUGGAUGGGCCCGCGUUGGAUUAGCUAGUUGGUAGGGUAAAAGCCUACCAAGGCGACGAUCCAUAGCUGGUCUGAGAGGAUGAUCAGCCACACUGGGACUGAGACACGGACCAGACUCCUACGGGAGGCAGCCGUGGGGAAUAUUUGACAAUGGGCGAAAGCCUGAUCCAGCAAUGCCGCGUGAGUGAUGAAGGCCUUAGGGUUGUAAAGCUCUUUUACCCGGGAUGAUAAUGACAGUACCGGGAGAAUAAGCUCCGGCUAACUCCGUG
rnacentral:rRNA from 1 species